rnacentral:rRNA from 1 species
UACGAAGGGGGGCUAGCGUUGCUCGGAAUCACUGGGCGUAAAGCGCACGUAGGCGGCUUUCUAAGUCAGGGGUGAAAUCCUGGAGCUCAACUCCAGAACUGCCUUUGAUACUGGAGGGCUUGAGUCCGGAAGAGGUGAGUGGAACUCCGAGUGUAGAGGUGAAAUUCGUAGAUAUUCGGAAGAACACCAGUGGCGAAGGCGGCUCACUGGUCCGGUACUGACGCUGAGGUGCGAAAGCGUGGGGAGCAAACAGGG